rnacentral:rRNA from 1 species
CCUACGGGUGGCUGCAGUGGGGAAUAUUGCACAAUGGGGGGAACCCUGAUGCAGCGACGCCGCGUGAGUGAAGAAGUAUUUCGGUAAGUAAAGCUCUAUCAGCAGGGAAGAAAAAAGGACGGGACCUGAGUAAGAAGCCCCGGCUAACUACGUGCCAGCAGCCGCGGUAAUACGUAGGGGGCCAGCGGUCGACGGAAUUACUGGGUGGAAAGGGAGCGUAGACGGCAAUGCGAGUCCGGAGUGGAAUGCAGCAGAGCAACUGCCGAACUGCUCUGGAAACUGUAUGGCUUGAGUGCAGGAGGGGUAAGCGGAAUGCCUGGUGUAGCGGUGAAAGGCGUAGAUAUCAGGAGGAACACCGGUGGCGAAGGCGGCUUACUGGACUGUAACUGACGUUGAGGCUCGAAAGCGUGGGGAGCAAACAGGAUUAGAUACCCCGGUAGUC